GCCAUACCACCCUGAACGCGUCCGAUCUCGUCUGAUCUCCGGAAGCUAAGCAGGGUCAAGCCUGGUUAGUACUCGGAUGGGAGACACAAUCGCAGACAAUGCAC
rnacentral:rRNA from 1 species